rnacentral:rRNA from 1 species
GAUCAACGCUGGCGGCGUGCCUAACGCAUGUAAGUCGUGCGGGGGUCUUCGGACCCGACGCGGCGAACGGCUGAGGAACACGUACGAACCUGCCCUUUCGUGGGGAAGUAAACGCGCCGAAAGGCGUGCUAAUACCGCGUACGCUCAUCCCUCCGGGGAGUGAGGAAAGCCGUAAGGCGCGGGGAGGAGGGGCGUGCGGCCCAUCAGGUUGUUGGUGUGGUAACGGCGCACCAAGCCACUGACGGGGUAGCGGUUCUGUGAGGACGAUCAGCCAGACUGGACUGCGAGACGGCCCAGACACCUACGGGUGGCAGCAGCGAGGAAUCUUCUACAAUGGGCGCAAGCCCGAUAGAGCAACGCCGCGUGGAGGACGACG